CGGCGGACGGGUGAGUAACGCGUGGGCAACCUGCCUUACACAGGGGGAUAACAGUUAGAAAUGACGUGCUAAUACCGCAUAAGACCGCAGUACCGCAUGGUACAGCGGUAAAAACUCCGGUGGUGUAAGAUGGGCCCGCGUCUGAUUAGGUAGUUGGCGGGGUAACGGCCCACCAAGCCGACGAUCAGUAGCCGACCUGAGAGGGUGACCGGCCACAUUGGGACUGAGACACGGCCCAGACUCCUACGGGAGGCAGCAG
rnacentral:rRNA from 1 species